UACAGAGGAGCCAAGCGUUGUCCGGAUUGACUGGGCGUAAAGCGCACGCAGGCGGACGCGCGCGUGGGGUGUGAAAACUGGCGGCUUAACUGCCAGAGGCCAUCCCAUACGGCGCAACUCGAGCCAUGCAGAGGUCCACGGAAUUGCCGGUGUAGUGGUGAAAUGCGUAGAGAUCGGCAGGAACACCCAGGGGGAAACCAGUGGACUGGGCAUGUGCUGACGCUCAGGUGCGAAAGCGUGGGGAGCGAACCGG
rnacentral:rRNA from 1 species